rnacentral:rRNA from 1 species
UAGUCCACGCUGUAAACGAUGAGAACUAGCCGUUGGAUCAUUAAAGAUUUAGUGGCGCAGCUAACGCAAUAAGUUCUCCGCCUGGGGAGUACGGCCGCAAGGUUAAAACUCAAAUGAAUUGACGGGGGCCCGCACAAGCGGUGGAGCAUGUGGUUUAAUUCGAAGCAACGCGAAGAACCUUACCUACCCUUGACAUCCUGCGAAUUUUGUAGAGAUACGAAAGUGCCUUCGGGAGCGCAGUGACAGGUGCUGCAUGGCUGUCGUCAGCUCGUGUUGUGAAAUGUUGGGUUAAGUCCCGUAACGAGCGCAACCCUUGUCCUUAGUUGCCAACGAUUCGGUCGGGAACUCUAAGGAGACUGCCGGUGACAAACCGGAGGAAGGUGGGGACACGUCAAGUCAUCAUGGCCCUUACGGGGUAGGGGCUACACACGUGCUACAAUGGUCGGUACAGAGGGGCAGCGAAGUCGCGAGGCUAAGCAAAUCUCAUAAAGCCGAUCGUAGUCCGGGAUUGCAGU